AGUCAGUCUGUUCAUACUUUUGCAAUAGUCUCGUGUCGAAGUCCCAGGUAUUAAGGUCCAUACUGGGAGUGUUCCUAAUACACGGAAUAAAAAGCUUCACCCGCAGAUAAUCUGUCUGCCUUUGAAAAACCAGCGAUGCGGGGGACAAGGACGACACGACACGACACCCACUUUGAAUGUAUUUAUGUAUGUAUGGCGGCCUGUCUGUCCUCGGGCGCCAGGAGGCGUGGGACUCUGGGAUGCCUCCCGAUGACAUUACAAAUGCUGAAACGGCUGCAACUGCAUCUGCAUCUGCUCUUGCAACAAAUGCGACGAGGACUCGGACUCGGACUGGAAAGUGUCUGGCGGCAACUAUGGGGGGCACAGGCACAGAUCUAAGUGAAUUGUCGUGUUGACAAUACUGAGAGCUGGGUAAAAGUUAAUAUGCUCGUGCAUUCGGCACUCAAGUAUUUAAACAUUUGCCCGCUUGUAAUUUGAGCUGCAUGCAAGUGGAGAGCCUCUAACUAAAUGAAUGGAAUGGAACGAGUAUGAGUACGAGAAGAGAAAUGCAUAUGGACAGAGAGGCACCAGCCCCAGCCCCAGCCCCAGCACUAGCACAUCCUGAGACAUGGCAUGCUCGGUAUGCGUGCGCCAAUGCUCAGCUCAGAUCUUGUUUGUAUCUUUAAGAUACUUUUGCUGUUCGGGGUGCAGACGAUGCAGACGCUGCUGCGCUCCACACUUUUAUUUAUUGUAUAAACAAUUUCGUGACUUU
rnacentral:sRNA from 1 species